rnacentral:rRNA from 1 species
UACGUAGGGCGCAAGCGUUGUCCGGAAUUAUUGGGCGUAAAGAGCUCGUAGGCGGUCUGUCGCGUCUGCUGUGAAAUCCCGAGGCUCAACCUCGGGCUUGCAGUGGGUACGGGCAGACUAGAGUGCGGUAGGGGAGAAUGGAAUUCCUGGUGUAGCGGUGGAAUGCGCAGAUAUCAGGAGGAACACCGAUGGCGAAGGCAGUUCUCUGGGCCGUAACUGACGCUGAGGAGCGAAAGCGUGGGGAGCGAACAGG